ACAGACACCAAGGCCAGGUGAGAGGGUCCUGCUGCGCUGGGGCCCACAAGGGCUCGGUGUCUCUCCACCUGUCUGCUUGCCUCUCCUGACGGGCUCCUGCCUUCCAUACCCCCAUCCUCUCCUUCUCUGCCUCUAUCUCCUCUCUCUCUUUCUCUCUCUCUCUCUCUCUCUCUCUCUCUCUCUCUUUCUCUUCCUCUGUGUGUGUGUGUGUGUCUCUCUCUCUGUCUCUCUAUCUCUGUGUGUGUGUCUUUGUAUGUCUUUCUUUGUCUCUCUGUCUCUGAGUAUCUCUCUGUAUGUGACUCUCUCUCUGUCUCUGUGUAUCUGAUUUCCCAUCUCUAUCUUUCUCUCUCUGUCUCUUUCCAUCUGUUUCUCUCUCUGCCUUUGUGUCUCUCCAUCUUUCUUGCCAAUUUUCUAUCCCCCUUCAUCUCUCUGUCUUUCUCCAUCUCUGUCUCUCUCAGCCUAAUUUUUUCGUCUCUGAUGUUCCUUCCAUGUGUCUGUCUGCCUCUCCAUCUGAUUUUCCUUCUCUCUGCAUUUCUUUUUCCAUAUCUGUCUUUCUCUCUCUCUUGUCUCUGCCUUUGUCUCUUUCUCUCUCCAUCUCUCUGUCUCUCUUUGAUUCCCCCCUCUCUAUCUCUGCCUGCUUGUUUCCCACCCCUUCCAUGCCAUCUCCUAUUUUCGGGUCUCUCUUCCUCCCUCUCUGCUGGGGCCUGAGCCCUGUGUUCUCUCCUGAAUAAAGCUGGUUCUGUCCUGGCUCCCCCUUCUCUGCCUCCGUCUUUCCUUCCCCCUCUGCCCCCACCCACGCCCAGCCCCAAUCCUGGUUGAAGGGCUCAGUCCUGGCAGCAGGGGCAUCCCCUCCUGCCCUACACAACAGGACAUAGGGGUGGAAAUCAGGGACUCGAGACCAGAGAGGCAGGGAGGAAAGUCAGCCCAGAUGAGGCACAACAGGUCAUGGGAUGCAGAGGCCAGGCAGCACCCUACACCAAGCAGACCAGGCUCCCCUCCCCCCUCGGGCCAGGCUGUGCCAGCACCAGGACAAUGCACCCUUGUCUCCUGUCCUGACAGCUGGGGGCUCCUGCCUCCGCCUCCUUCAGAGGGGCCAGUGGCUCUCUGCUCUGCCCUAGGCAGGGGAAUGACCCUGGGGACUAGGCCUAGGGAUCUACCACCUCCAGGCUCCUGUCUCUGCCUGAGCCCCAGGGUUCUCUCAUUAUUCUGGUCACCCUGGGUGUUUGGCCACCCUUCCUGUGCGCUGCCUCUGCACUUCCUGUCCUAGCUCUGCUGUCCCUCUACUACAUCCUUCCUCCCCUUCUGGUAUGUGUGGUCCUCCCCACUAGAAACCUUGU
rnacentral:lncRNA from 1 species